GGCGCGUUGGUCAAGUGGUUAAGACACCGCCCUUUCACGGCGGUAACAUGGGUUCAAAUCCCGUACGCGUCACCA
rnacentral:tRNA from 1 species